rnacentral:rRNA from 1 species
AAAACUCAAAAACUUAGUCUCAGUUCGGAUUGUUAGGCUGAAACUCGCCUACAUGAAGCUGGAGUUGCUAGUAAUCGCGAAUCAGCAUGUCGCGGUGAAUACGUUCCCGGGCCUUGUACACACCGCCCGUCACACCAUGAGAGUUGGCAAUACCCAACGUACGUGAUCUAACCCGCAAGGGAGGAAGCGUCCUAAGGUAGGGUCAGCGAUUGGGGUGAAGUCGUAACAAGGUAGC